UACAGAGGGCUCAAGCGUUGUUCGGAUUCAUUGGGCGUAAAGGGUGCGUAGGCGGCGCGGUAAGUCGGAUGUGAAAUCUCGGAGCUUAACUUCGAAACUGCAUUCGAUACUGCCGUGCUUGAGGACUGGAGAGGAGACUGGAAUUUACGGUGUAGCGGUGAAAUGCGUAGAUAUCGUAAGGAAGACCAGUGGCGAAGGCGGGUCUCUGGACAGUUCCUGACGCUGAGGCACGAAGGUCAGGGGAGCAAACGGG
rnacentral:rRNA from 1 species